rfam:Oryza sativa (indica cultivar-group) chromosome 7, whole genome shotgun sequence.
AAUAAGUGCAGUUUUGCACUAUUCAUGUUCAACGUUUAACCGUCCGUCUUAUUUGAAAAUUUUUUAUGAUUAGUAUUUUUAUUGCUAUUAGAUGAUAAAACAUGAAUAGUACUUUAUGUGUGACUAAAUGUUUUUAAUUUUUUUACAAAUUUUUCAAAUAAGACGGACGGUCAAACGUUGAACGUGAAUAAUGCAAAAAUGCACUUAUU